GUCCCCAGGUCCACCCCUUGGCCUCUCCCUUUCAAGCUUAUCUAAUUUGCAUUGUCCCUUGUAUUCUUUCAUGCUCUCUGUGUCUCCGGUCAUAUGUAGCUUUUCUUUUUAGUGUUGGAUUUAGGCUUUCUAGGUUCACUUACAUCAGAAAUACAUGUACAUUUUCUUGAAGUCUUGUGUGUUGCUUAAUAAACUGUUAAAUUUCAGUGAUUUUGGUAUGCUUUGCAAAUUUCUUGGUGGAAAUUUGUUUUCUUGUUUAAUGGAUUUUUGGUUUGUAAAAAAAAAAGCUACAUAUGACC
rnacentral:misc_RNA from 1 species